CUUGAUCGACCCCAACCACAGCGGCUCCGUGCGACCCUGCCCGUAAGUAGCCAACAACGCCUGCGCCUC
rfam:Mycobacterium saskatchewanense strain DSM 44616 contig_53, whole genome shotgun sequence.